rnacentral:rRNA from 1 species
GCAAGGAACAAUUCUCGACGGCGAACGGUGCCCAACUCCACGGACGCGGGACACUGGUCGAGUCAAACUGCCAAGAAAAUCCUCUAAGCGAGUCGUUUCGGCAACCGUACCGCAAACCGACACAGGUAGACUGGCAGAACAUGCUAAGGCGCUCGGGAUAAUCCUCGUUAAGGAACUCGGCAAAAUUGCCCCGUAACUUCGGAAGAAGGGGUGCCUGAGUAGUUUUUAGUGUAAACUGGAGACGAAAAGGCCGCAGUGAAAUGGCUCCUGCGACUGUUUAAUAAAAACACAGGUCCCUGCUAAGUCGCAAGAUGAUGUAUAGGGACUGACACCUGCCCGGUGCCGGAAGGUUAACGUGAGGGGUUAGGCGCAAGCCGAAGCUCUGAUCUGAAGCCCCGGUAAACGGCGGCCGUAACUAUUGCUUGGACCUCAGUAGUUAUAAAAUUUGGCUAUUUGCUGGAAAAUCCUGUUAGGUUCACGGUACAUCUCCUUAGAAAGAUGAAGGGGUGUGACAAUUCGUGAAAUAGGGACAAUCAGCAGGAAAGGCUUUUGCAAAGGAGGUUAUAGUGGCAGAUAAUACACCGGAAAAGAUCGGCUGGUAUUUAGCCGGUUUUGCCGAUGGCGAAGGUAGCUUUAACCUCUCUUUUCGUCCAAGACCAGACUAUCCUACCGGAUGGAAGGUUUCUCUCUGUUUCAAUGUUUCCCAGAAAGAUAAGGUUAUUCUCACGUUGUUCAAACGUCACCUGAAGUGUGGUGAAUUAAGAGGCCGCCCUGACGGAGUUUGGUAUUACGAGGUGAAUAAUCUGAAUGCUAUUUUGGGAAACGUCAUUCCGUUCUUCAAAAAACACCAUUUCCUUUCUGCUAAAAAGAAACGCGACUUCUUGAAAUUCUGUCAACUGGCGGAAAUCAUAAAAAAUGGCGAACACCUUAAAGAAGAAGGAUUGAAAAAGAUACUGGAAAUCAGAAGAGAGAUGAAUGACGGUGGGAAAAGAAGGUAUUCGGAAACAGAAAUUCUGCGAAAAGCAAAAGAAUCCUCAGAGACUAUACGCCAAACUCCUCCCGAAGAGGAGAUGAUAUAGUCCGGUCUUCCAGGAAACUGGAAGUUAACAUAAACGAACGGUCCUAAGGUAGCGAAAUUCCUUGUCGGGUGAACGAAAAAUCGCCCGUACCGGCUUAUAACGGUGGAGUCCUACCCGUUGCGCUAUUACAAGGAUAGCGCGGAUAAGGGAGGAUAAUACCGUGGGAAGUCCAAGUGACCCCGUAACGACUGAUCCCGCAAGGGUGAGAUGGUAAACGGAAAAUUGGUUACCAUCAAACGCCGGUAUUUUCAGGAGCGCGUAUGGAUUUAGAAAGUUAUUUUUCCGGUUUUGUUGAUGGAGAAGGGAGUUUUUGUGUUUCUUUUAAUAAGAGUAAGAGACACAAAUUCGGUUGGGAUAUAAGGCCCAGUUUUUCUGUAUCGCAAAAUCGAGAAAAUAGCUUGACGCUGGAGAAGAUGAGAGAAUAUUGGAACUGUGGUUUCAUUAGACCUGACAGUUCUGAUAAUACUCUUAAGUAUGAGGUUCGAAGUGUAAAGAUGUUGGUUGAAAUAAUAAUUCCUCAUUUUGAAAAGUUUCCAAUGAUGUCAAAAAAACAAGAGGAAUUCUGCCGGUUUGCUGAAAUUUGCAGAAUGAUGCUUGACCGGAAACAUUUGACGAAAGAGGGAUUUAACGCAAUUACCAACAUCGCUUCAAAACUCAAUCUCCAUGGGAAGAAGAAAUUUUCCCGCCUGGGAAUAAAGAUAUAGUCUGCGCCUUCUGGUAACAGAGGGAUGAACGUGGAGUUCCGACCUGCACGAAUGGUGUAACGACAGGAGCGCUGUCUCAACGAGAAACCCGGUGAAUUUGUGAUAACCGUGAAGACGCGGUUUACCCGCAACAAGACGAAAAGACCCCGGAACCUUAACUGUAACUUGUCAUUGGGUUUUAAAAUAAUAUGUGUAGGAUAGGUGGGAGGCUUUGAAGUUCCGGCGCUAGCCGGGAUGGAGCCAACGGUGAAAUACCACCCUUAUUCUUUUGAAAUUCUAACCUCUUCCCGUGAAUCCGGGAAAGGGACAGUGGCAGGCGGGCAGUGUGACUGGGGCGGUUGCCUCCUAAAGAGUAAAGGAGGCGCACAAAAGUCACUUCAGGCCGGUUGGCAAUCGGCUGUUGAGUGUAAAGGCAUAAGGUGGCUUGACUGCGAGAGAGACAUCUCGAGCAGAGGCGAAAGCCGGGCUUAGUGAUCCGGUGGUUCUGUAUGGAAGGGCCAUCGCUCAUCGAAUAAAAGGUACUCUGGGGAUAACAGGCUUAUCACGUCCAAGAGUUCAUAUCGACGACGUGGUUUGGCACCUCGAUGUCGGCUCACCGCAUCCUGGGGCUGAAGCAGGUCCCAAGGGUUGGUCUGUUCGCCCAUUAAAGCGGUACGUGAGCUGGGUUUAGAACGUCGCAAGACAGUUCGGUCUCUAUCUGUUGCGGGCGUUGGAGAUUUGAAGGGGAGCUGUCCCUAGUACGAGAGGACCGGGAUGGACGAACCGCUGGUGUUCCAGUUGUUCCGACAGGAGCAAUCGCUGGGUAGCUAUGUUCGGACCGGAUAAGCGCUGAAAGCAUCUAAGUGCGAAGCCGACCCCAAGAUUAGAUCUCCCUCUCUCAGUCGUAAGAUUGAAAGACUAAAGGCCUCAAGAAGAUUACUUGUAGAUAGGCCGGAGGUGUAAGUUCCGCAAGGAAUUGAGCCAACCGGUACUAAUAGGCCGUGUGGCUUGGCUAC